GCGGGCGUAGUUCAGUGGUAGAACGUCAGCUUCCCAAGCUGAAUGUCGUCGGUUCGAUCCCGAUCGCCCGCUCCG
rnacentral:tRNA from 1 species